AACGCUGGCGGCGUGCCUAACACAUCCARGUCGAACGCGGUUACCCCCGCAAGGGGUAACUGGAGUGGCGAACGGGUGAGUAACACGUGGGUGACCCCGCUUCGAGUGGGGGAUAACAUCCCGAAAGGGGUGCUAAUACCGCAUGACAUCCUGCCUUUGAAGAGGUGGAGAUUAAAGCUGGGGAUCGCAAGACCUGGCGCUUGAAGAGGGGCCCGCGUCCGAUUAGCUAGUUGGUGGGGUAAUGGCCUACCAAGGCGACGAUCGGUAGCCGGCCUGAGAGGGCGGACGGCCACACUGGGACUGAGACACGGCCCAGACUCCUACGGGAGGCAGCAGUGGGGAAUUGUUCGCAAUGGGCGCAAGCCUGACGACGCAACGCCGCGUGGAGGACGAAGAUCUUCGGGUCGUAAACUCCUUUCGAUCGGGACGAAUGGCCGGUGACCUAACACGUCAUCGGAAUGACGGUACCGAGAGAAGAAGCCCCGGCUAACUCCGUGCCAGCAGCCGCGGUAAUACGGGGGGGGCAAGCGUUGUUCGGAAUUACUGGGCGUAAAGGGCGCGUAGGCGGCCUGCUAAGUCACACGUGAAAUCCCUCGGCUCAACCGGGGAACUGCGUGUGAUACUGGCGGGCUCGAAUUCGGGAGAGGGAUGUGGAAUUCCAGGUGUAGCGGUGAAAUGCGUAGAUAUCUGGAGGAACACCGGUGGCGAAGGCGGC
rnacentral:rRNA from 1 species